CGCAUCUGUGCAUGCAGCAUAUCAAUAAGCGGAGGAAAAGAAACUAACAAGGAUUCCCUCAGUAACGGCGAGUGAAGCGGGAAGAGCUCAAAUUUGAAAUCUUGCAAGGUUUACCUUGACGAAUUGCUAGUUUAAAGAAGUGUUUUCUGCUUACGAUUUGGUAAUAAGUUCUUUGGAAUAGGACAUCAUAGAGGGUGAGAAUCCCGUAUGAUUGACCGAUUUGUCAGCUUUGUGAUACACUUUCAAAGAGUCGGGUUGUUUGGGAAUGCAGCCCAAAACGGGAGGUAAAUUUCUUCUAAGGCUAAAUAUUGGCGAGAGACCGAUAGCGAACAAGUACCGUGAGGGAAAGAUGAAAAGAACUUUGAAAAGAGAGUUAAAUAGUACGUGAAAUUGUCAAAAGGGAAGCGUUUAACACCAGUGUUGUUUUCUGAAAAUCAACCUCUGUUAGCUUUAUGCAUGUUUGUUUAGACCUAAUCAGCUAUCUUGCAUGUUCUAUUGUUUGCAGUGGUGCACUUUUCAGUUUACAGGUCAACAUCAGUUUUUUUUACCGUAAAAAAGUUAAAGAAAGGUAGCUCAUGGCUCCGGUCGUGAGUGUUAUAGUCUUUUUCCUAUGCGGUAGGAGAGACUGAGGUCUGCAGUGUAGGCUAUUUGGCUAGAUACUCAGGUGCUAUGUGAUACCAUUUCAUAAACAACUUGUUGAUUAUGUUUUGUCUAUUGCAUACUCGCUUGUACUAUCAUACCUACGCUUAGGAUGUUGAAGUCAUCGUAUCGCGC
rnacentral:rRNA from 1 species